ensembl:lncRNA
AGACACUCUGAAGAAAACAAUUCCCUCCUAGCUGAAACUCAGACAGCUACCUGUUGCAGUGCAUCACCAUGGGCCUUGUGCUGAAGCAGUGGCUAUAAGUUGGGCCCCAUGGUGCUGGAGUAGUGCUGGGAGAGCUGCAGUCUGUGGGAAGCCCACAUGGGAUCACUUUGGGAAGGAUGGCAUCUUGUGGGAGGAAGCUACGUGGAACAGAGAGUGACCAUGGAAGAGCUGCAAAGCCAAAGGGUUUUGUACUGAGCACAGCCCUCAUUCCCUGUUACCCUGUGGAGCUCCGUGGGAGGAGCUGACCCAUUUUGUGGUGGAAGAAAAAUUGUGAAAUUUGAGGAUCAAAUUCCAGAGCAUUCAACCACGGAAUUUUUGUAUCGUCUUUAAGGUGCUACUUGCCAUGAAAGAUUGCUGUUGCUUUUCUUCACUUUGCACUCAAAGUGCUACAGGAAAUCUCAAAGGAAAAAGGGGAAACUUCACUGGAUAGAUCUCCGCACUACAUACUUAAUAAGACACACUGUCUCUCAUACAUAUAAUUGAUGGUUCAAACAACUAUCCCGACAUUUCAGUACUGUCCUGUAGUUGCCAAGAAGCCUUUUUGUAAAUAUUUGCUUUUACAAAAAGGAUGUAGCCAAAUCACUUUUCAAGUUUCCAUGACUGCUGUUGUGUUUAAAGCAUUUUGAUUUGCUCUCUGUUUACAUCUGCUUUCAGUCUUUGUGUCCUCUCUUUUGAGAAUUCACUUCAUCUACUUUUGCUUCCAAAAAAAUUGAUUGGAAAUUUCAUAUUACAGUCUUUCUCUUAAAAUAAAUAAAUUACAAAAAGCAUCAUUCCAUUUCAUUUAGUCAGAUUUCUCACUUUUUCCUCUGAAAGGUUUGGAGGCUUAGGAUAGAGCUGCAGCAGAUGUGAAUAAGAGCUCCCAAGCCACCUAUGAUAAAAGAAACAAAAUUUAAACAUGCGGUUGAGUUCUUCCGAACAAGUAUCUGAAAGCAUUUUAUGUCAUUGCAUUUUUGGCACUUAAGAACAUUACAGUUGUCCCUAGGUACAUAGAUAAACACUAGCUGCGCAUUUUUACCUAUCCUUAAUUGUAAAGCAACUGCAAAGACUGAGAGGGUGAACCACACAAAAUUUUCACCUGCAAAAGUGCAUAUUUCUUCUGUUUCCCCCUAAACUGGACAGGUGCAUGCAUAUCAAUCCAUACCAACAGAUUCUGUCCCUGCCAGUUGUGCAUCUUGAGAGCUGCUCAAGGUUUCUUAAUAGCUUUUUCUUCAGAGGUGAAAAAUAAACAAGUAUAUGC